rnacentral:antisense_RNA from 1 species
CCAGAAAAGGUCAGAAGUCUGAGGUACCUGAGAGAAGACAGAAAAAUGAGAUCUGGAAUUUGAGGAGCGCCUGUUAGGAGAAGAGCCAUCUUUACUACUUCCCAAAAGAUUCCCUGUUCUAGUUGGCCUUCUAUAUUGGUGGUUUCUGAAUACAUACCCCAAAGAACUUGAGCAUCAGUGAAUUCUGGUAUCUUCUGGGAGCCCUGGAACUAAUCUCUUGAAGAUACCAAGGGAUGACUGUGUUUUAAAAUGUGAGAGAGAGAUGUCACUCAGGACUG